rnacentral:rRNA from 1 species
UAAAGGGCCGUCGAAGACUACGACGUUGAUAGGUUGGGCGUGUAAGCGCUGUGAGGCGUUGCGCUAACCCAUACUAAUUGCCCGUGAGGCUUGACCAUAUAACACCCAAGCAAUU